GAAAUCUAAUAGAUCACACACUUUAGGAUUUUAUCUUGAUCUAAUUUAAUUAGGAUUUAAUAUAAAUCCUAGGGGUUAAUUUGAUUUUCUAGCAUAUUGUGUUAACUCAAGUUCCUAAUUAGGUUAAGUUCAAAGUAUUUGAGCUAAACUGAACCUGUUGCCUUUGACCUGAUUGGAUUAGGUCUAUAUUAAUUGGACUCCUACUUAACUUGGAAGAGUUUCAAGUGUGGAAAGACUCCUCCAUGCCACUCUAGUUUCAUGCCAAAAAUAAAUGCCGCCACCCUCUCUUUUAUGCAUUAAGAAGAGGAAGAGUCCUUCUUUCUUAAGACUCUUAACUACCUCUUAGUUUUCCAUUGAUUCCUUUAAUGUCACAUGCCAAAAUUUAUUAAGAGAAUUAUGAAGCACAGAAGAGAAAGAGUCCUUCUAUGUGUAGCCUCUUCUAUGCCACUUAAUUCAUUGGAGAAAUUAAUUCUCCAUGUGAGAG
rnacentral:lncRNA from 1 species